rnacentral:rRNA from 1 species
AGUGAACGCUGGCGGUAGGCCUAACACAUGCAAGUCGAACGGCAGCACAGGAGAGCUUGCUCUCUGGGUGGCGAGUGGCGGACGGGUGAGGAAUACAUCGGAAUCUACUUUUUCGUGGGGGAUAACGUAGGGAAACUUACGCUAAUACCGCAUACGACCUACGGGUGAAAGCAGGGGAUCUUCGGACCUUGCGCGAUUGAAUGAGCCGAUGUCGGAUUAGCUAGUUGGCGGGGUAAAGGCCCACCAAGGCGACGAUCCGUAGCUGGUCUGAGAGGAUGAUCAGCCACACUGGGACUGAGACACGGGCCAGACUCCUACGGGAGGCAGCAGUGGGGAAUAUUGGACAAUGGGCGCAAGCCUGAUCCAGCCAUACCGCGUGGGUGAAGAAGGCCUUCGGGUUGUAAAGCCCUUUUGUUGGGAAAGAAAUCCAGCUGGCUAAUACCCGGUUGGGAUGACGGUACCCAAAGAAUAAGCACCGGCUAACUUCGUGCCAGCCGCCGCAGUAACAC